rnacentral:rRNA from 1 species
CAGCAGCCACGGUAAUACGAAGGGUGCAAGCGUUAAUCGGAAUUACUGGGCGUAAAGCGUGCGUAGGCGGUGAGUUAAGUCUGCUGUGAAAUCCCCGGGCUCAACCUGGGAAUGGCAGUGGAUACUGGCUCGCUAGAGUGUGUCAGAGGAUGGCGGAAUUCCCGGUGUAGCGGUGAAAUGCGUAGAGAUCGGGAGGAACAUCAGUGGCGAAGGCGGCCAUCUGGGACAACACUGACGCUGAGGCACGAAAGCGUGGGGAGCAAACAGGAUUAGAUACCCGCGUAGUCCCUGUCUCUUAUAC